UACGGAGGGUGCAAGCGUUAUCCGGAUUCACUGGGUUUAAAGGGCGCGUAGGUGGCCCGACAAGUCAAUGGUGAAAUCUCGGAGCUUAACUUCGAAACUGCAUUCGAUACUGCCGUGCUUGAGGACUGGAGAGGAGACUGGAAUUUACGGUGUAGCGGUGAAAUGCGUAGAUAUCGUAAGGAAGACCAGUGGCGAAGGCGGGUCUCGUGGACAGUUCCUGACGCUGAGGCACGAAGGUCAGGGGAGCAAACGGG
rnacentral:rRNA from 1 species